CAGUCCCAGUCGAAGGCACCUAGGGUUCCGACAGCCCCAAUCGGAGUCACGACUCCAGUCGAAGGCACAGGCGCAUCUCUCUCUCGGCUGGCUUGGAGCCCUAUGGUCUGUCUUCGUCGACAUCUCUCUCUCGGUCUCUCCAUGUAACCCUUUCGUCUUCAUCUCUCUGUGUGUCUUCGUAAUAUAUGUGUUUGUGAGGGUUCCUUCGUGACGUCUUUAUGGCCGAAUUGACUAGUGAGUCUACAGUCUACUACUUCGCAACUUGCUCCACAGGGCGCGAGUCCUGUUUUGACUACUUCGAUGACCGAUUCUCUCCACCCUGGCCAGAAAAUCACCACCUCUCUCUUUAAUGGUCAGAACUAUCUAGCGUGGUCGCAGAGUUUGACUAUAUUUUUAAAGAGCAAAGGGAAGAUGGAAUAUGUUGAUGGGCGUGUUCAGGCUCCCAAUAUCACCGAUACAGGUUAUGAUCAGUGGGAGAUUACCAAUUCUCUUAUCAUGGGUUCGUUGAUACACUCUAUGGUUCCGGAGAUCGGUGAGGGAUACUUGUCUAUGGACACAGCACAGGAUAUUUGGGAGGCUGUGGCCACUACGUAUUCUCGCAAAGUUAAUUUCUCACAGACUUUUGAGUUGCGACGCUCUAUUGACCGGUCUGUUCAGGGUGAGAUGACUAUUCUCCAGUAUUUUACUUUCCUUAGCAAUGGGUGGAAGCGACUUGAUCAUCUUCAAGACUACAAACCUGUCUGUCCCACAGAUUCUGCUGGUUACCGGAAAUUUGUUGAACAAGUGCGAGUCUUCAAGUUUUUGGAAGGUUUGAAUGUGGAGUUUGAUCCUGUUCGGAGUCGUAUGCUUGGUAUGGAUGCUCUUUCUUCUCUCCAAGAAGUGUUUGCUUAUGUACAGAAUGAGGAGAGUCGUCGUUCUACUAUGCUUCCAGCUGCCUCUUUUGAUCAAUCUGCCCUAGUUUCUGCCCCUCUCGAGAUAGGGAUCGUGGUUCUCGUCCUCCUUUUGAGAAGGAUACUCUCUUCUGUGAUUUUUGUCGUCGCUCUCGCCACUCCCGUGAGACUUGUUGGAAGUUGCAUAGGCAACCAUCUGGAGGUCGUGGAGAUCGUUCUGGUUCUCGUGGGGGUCGCUCCGGACAGUCUCGAGGCCGUGGGCCCAAUGCCCGAGCCCAUCAUUCUGAUGCAGUUAAGCCACAGUCCACAGCUCCAGUUGAUUUAUCUGCUGAUAUCUCGAAGUUUUCUACUUCUGAAUUGGCGGUUGCUCUUUGCUACUUGCUAGACUGUCGGGCCUCUAGUUCAUCUUCAGGUAAUAUUGCCCAGUCAAGUAACUUAGCUUCUUCUACAAGUGCUUUCCUCUCUCAUCAAACAUUACCUGGAUUAUCGAUUCUGGUGCUUCCGACCACAUGUCUGGUUCUUCUGAUUUGUUCUCCACGUAUACCCCUUUUUCAAGGCAGGAUAAAGUUCGAAUUGCUGAUGGUACCAUUUCUUCUGUGUCUGGGAAAGGACCUUAUCAUGAGGAAGAUGAUUGGCAGUGGUAGACACGAGAAUGGUCUCUAUAUCUUGGAUCAAGCAAACAAGCUGGCUCACUCAUCCAUUCAGUUUCCAUCUACCAAGGAAGACAUCUGGCUGUGGCACUGCCGUCUUGGGCAUCCAUCUUUUUUGUUACUUAAGCAUCUUUUCCCCUCUGUUUUUUUGAAAAAUGAUGUUUCUGAAUUUCAUUGAGUCGUGUCAACUUGGCAAACAACACAGAGUUUCUUUUGCUCCUUCUAUUAAUAAAAGUUUAGUUCCUUUUUUUUUGAUUCAUUCUGAUGUAUGGGGUCCCUCUUGUUUUGUAUCUUUAAAAGGUCAAAGAUGGUUUGUCACCUUUAUUGAUGAUUGUUCUAGGACCACCUGGGUGUAUCUUAUGAAGGACAAAUGUGAGGUGUUUUCUGUGUUUCAAAAUUUUCAUAAAAUACUUUGCACUCAAUUUGGGGCAGUUGUCAAAAUUCUGCGUUCUAAUAAUGGGGGGGAAUAUAUCGAUUCUGGACUUGCCAGCUAUUUUGUCACUCAUGGUAUUAUUCAUCAAACUUCUUGUACCAAUACCCCUCAACAGAAUGGUGUUGCCGAGCGUAACAACUGGCAUCUUCUUGAUAUUGCGCGUUGUUUAUCCUUUGAAAUGCACGUUCCUCGAUCCUAUUGGGGGGAAGCGGUUCUCACUGCUGCCUUCCUCAUCAAUCGGCUUCCUACCCAGGUUCUUCAUAAACAAACUCCUCUUCAGGUUUUGUUCGACUUCCAAGCUUCUGCUACCUUCUCCAUUCCUCCCAAAACCUUUGGGUGUGUGUGCUUUGUUCAUAACCAUUCUCCUACCCGUAGUAAGUUGGAUCCUCGGUCUCUUCGGCGUGUCUUCCUGGGUUACUCCGCCACUCAAAAGGGCUACAAGUGUUAUCAUCCCCCCUCUCGCAAAUGGUUUGUCUCUAUGGAUGUGUCUUUCUUAGAAUCUCAGUCUUAUUUUCUCUCCUCCCCGGUGUCCCUGUCAUCUCUUCAGGGGGAGCCUUGGUGUGAAGAGACUCCUAUAUCACUAUACCAUCACCAUCAGUUAUUGCGACUCCUGAGACUAUUAUUACCGAUGAUCCAAUUAUUGAGAAUGCUGACUCUCCAUCUGAGAAUGCUGACUUUCCAUCUACAAUGAAAGACGGCAAAGUGUAUGUCAGGGACAAGGGUAGACAGAAAGUUACUUGGGUACAAGAGACCAAUUCGAAUUCUCUACUAUCUUCUUCUUCUUAUGAGUGUCCAGAAUCCUCUCCUUCUGGUGUGUUAUCCCAGUUAGGCAACCCAAGAGGGGGGGUGAAUUGGGUUAUUAAAAAUUUCACAAUAUUAAAAAUAACACAAUUUUCAGAAUUUGAAUAA